CCCGGCGAUGCAUACCCGUUGCGGAAUCGGCUGACGUGGCAUAUGCCACAUCAGCAGAUAUAUUAAAAAAAAAAAAAAAGAAGAAGAACGGAAUUCAUUUUCAUGAUUGGAAGAUUUGAAACCCAUUUCUUUUUUCAGAAAUCCAGAACCUCCGAUAUACUCCACGAGCACCAAAACCCAUUUUGAGACCACACUAACAUUGUCGUCGCCGUCGCCAUCGAUUCCGGAAAGGCACUACAUUGUUCAGAAAUCGUUAAGUAUAUAGUUCGGGAUGGUGCUGUUCGUGUGGGCAAGAACAAUGUAAUGGGUCUGUUGCAAGUUUGUUUGUUUGCAAGAACAAUGUAGGUACCGAUUUUCUGUUUUCCCACCGAAGAUCCCUCUUGAAAUUGGUUGUAUCUAGUUCCCUGGGUUUGCUUGUUCAAGUGGAGUAUUAAACUAUUUACCAACAAAAAAAAUUCCAGUUUGGUUGGGGCAUUCUGGGUGUAUCAAAAGCUGUGUAAAGAGACAGUAAGAGAGAGGCAAAGAGAUGGGUUAGGCUGAAUA